AAAUGGCUACUUGAAUCGGGAUUUUGAGCAUAAUGAUUUUACUAACUUGUAAAAAGCAGGCUUAACCCUUGGGGAUGCGAUAAUACAUCUAAGAAAUUAUUCCAUCGAACAGAUUCCCCCCUGGAGCUAGGAAUAGCAAAAUAGACUAAAUGUUCUAUCUAAGCCAAGGAACUUACUCUAAGUAUAGUCCUGAUAAAGGGUGGUUGAGAUGAGAUUCAACAUUUUUGAACCACGAAACACUAGGUUUCCAUUUUGAUUGUAGGUGUAACCAACCCCCUAAUAGGGAUACGGCAGAAAGAAAUAAUAGAAAAAGAGCUCCAAUAUAAAGAUCUUCAUUAGUACAUAAACCUAUCAUAUACCAUCACCGAUAAA